UACGUAGGGUGCAAGCGUUAAUCGGAAUUACUGGGCGUAAAGCGUGCGCAGGCGGUUGUGCAAGACAGAUGUGAAAUCCCCGGGCGUCAACCUGGGAAGUUGCAUUUGUUGACUGCACGGCUAGAGUGUGUCAGAGGGGGGUAGGAAUUCCACGUGUAGCAGUGAAAUGCGUAGAUAUGUGGAGGAAUACCGAUGGCGAAGGCAGCCCCCUCGGGUGGA
rnacentral:rRNA from 1 species